GACGAACGCUGGCGGCGUGCUUAACACAUGCAAGUCGAACGAUGAAGCGGGUGCUUGCACUCGUGGAUUAGUGGCGAACGGGCGAGUAACACGUGAGUAACCUGUCCUUUUCUUUGGGAUAACGGCUGGAAACGGCUGCUAAUACUGGAUAUUCAGGCUGCAUCGCAUGGUGUGGUUUGGAAAGGUUUUUUCUGGGAUUGGGUGGGCUCGCGGCCUAUCAGCUUGUUGGUGGGGUGAUGGCUUACCAAGGCUUUGACGGGUAGCCGGCCUGAGAGGGUGGUCGGUCGCACUGGGACUGAGAUACGGCCCAGACUCCUACAGGAGGCAGCAGUGGGGAAUAUUGCACAAUGGACGAAAGUUUGAUGCAGCGACGCCGCGUGGAGGGUGUAGGCCUUCGGGUUGUGAACUCCUUUUUCUCGCGAAAAAGGCACAGUUUUGGCUGUGUUGAUGGUAGUGGGGGAAGAAGCGCCGGCUAACUACGUG
rnacentral:rRNA from 1 species